AACAAAACAAAACAAAGAACAAAAACAAAGAAAAUAAAGUAUUCCCUCCCCCAUACUUAAAAUAUGCAUUGUCCUCAAUGAAAGAAACAAACAUAAAAUAAGAGAGAGAAGAGAGAGGAAAGAACACACGCGAGUAGUCAAGGAGGAUAGGUGAUCACAUAAGCAGCCUUUCUCAAAGAGAUAUAUUCUACAUUUUCUUCUUCCAAAGUCGGGCUGUCAUGGAAUAACUUUGGGUAAUGUCCAUUGAACUUGAAAUUUUUAUUAGUAUCUUCGCCUUUUAUUCCAGGAUCAAAGAAUCUUCUAAACGUAAA
rnacentral:lncRNA from 1 species